rnacentral:rRNA from 1 species
UACAGAGGGGGCAAGCGUUGUUCGGAAUUACUGGGCGUAAAGGGCGCGUAGGCGGUCCGAUAAGUCCCGUGUGAAAUCCCUCGGCUCAACUGAGGAAUGGCACGGGAAACUGACGGGCUUGAGUUCGGGAGAGGGAAGCGGAAUUCCGGGUGUAGCGGUGAAAUGCGUAGAUAUCCGGAGGAACACCGGUGGCGAAGGCGGCUUCCUGGACCGACACUGACGCUGAGGCGCGAAAGCUAGGGGAGCAAACGGG